GUGUCUUAUGUUUUCUUUCUGUCUGCUAUGAGUCUGAAUCUGUACUUGCCUGAGAAUACUCUCCUGUGAAUCUUUCGGUUGCGUCUAUGUGUCUGUCGCUGUGUCUGUCUCUUUGUGUGUCUGUGCCCAUCAAUGGUUCUCUAUUGAACAGUAUAGAAAUGUCACAUGGUAUAAAGGAAUGGCACCCUUUCAGAAAUGUUUAACAGAAUUUCACUGGAGGUUAAGUCACUGGUUUCAACUGACCCAGAAAACAAGCAGCAUCACAAAUAUCAUCAUUUAUCAACUAGUAUCUACAUGUUGCAUUCAACAUUUACAGUGGAUAUUCAUUUUUAGAAGAUUGCUCUCAACCUCUGUAUCUGCUGCCUUUAGCAAAUGACACACAUGCAUUUUUCUGGGCCAGGGGCAUGGAAGACCAUGUAAUUUAAGAUUACAUUUAUAGUAUAGCUUAGGUUUUAAAUGUUGAUUACAUAGGAAAUCCAAAGCAAAUGAGGCUGGUUGCUACAUUGUUUUCUUAAAGUCAGGUUAAGCAAGCAAGUUGAAUGUACAGGAGGCUAUCAGUCUUAAGUGACCUCAAUGGGUAUUAUUAAUUCUGACUGUGAGACCCAGCAAAGCUUCCAGUCUCUUAGAAUGUGAGCUAUUUCAUAAUAUUGUAUCACCACACAGAAGUACUCAGAUCUCUAUGUUCCUGGUCUAGAUAGAGUCUUCCAGGUCAGCUAGGGCUAUACAUGAGAAUCUGGUUCAAAAUAAAAAAGUGACAAUUUUGGUGGAAGCUGUAUGAAACAUUUAAUUGCUUAAUAUUUUGCAGUUUUUUCUACAUAUUUCACAUUUCAUUUAAAAAGAACUUAAAAGUACCUGAAUAACCCCACUGUCACUUGUUAUUUUAAAGAUAUUUGUUUGUUUAUUUAUGUGUAUAUGUAUUUGUGCCAAUAUGAGAUGUGAACUACAUACAUGUAAGUGUCUGUGGAAGGCAGAAGGCAUCAGAUCUCCUAGACUUAUCUAUGCCUGGGAGCCAUCUGAUAUGGGUUCUGGGAACCUGUCCUUUACAAGACAAAAGUGCUCUG
rnacentral:lncRNA from 1 species